UCACAGAUUUACAACUUGACCAUUGCUUACUGAUAAACACUACUUCACUUGAGACAAGAGACUUGAGUAUCCAGUUCUUCGUUGACCUUCAGCAUUCAGUUGUUUGUCUUCACCUUUUCAGUCUAAAACCUGAGAAGCCAUCACCAUUUUGUUGUUUCACAUCAGAGUUUCCUGUGUCCAGGAUCUUCAAGACAGACUAAGCUAACUUUUCAUAUUUUUUGCACAUUUAUAUUUAGGUUAGGUUAGGAGUAGGUUAGGUUUAUAGUAGAGUAUUUAGUCAGUAUAGUUUAGCUUUUUAUGCUAGUCUAGGGACAGUUACAGUUUGCGAGUUAUUGUUGUACAGGCUAUUGAAUAUUUUGUUCAAGUGAGACGAGAAAGACCACUGCUUCCAAGAUGCCGAGGAAGGGCAAGCGAUCCCGUGCUCAGAAAGUGCGUUGGACAAGUCUCGACCUUGCAGAUCCUGACCAACUUAGCCCAACCACUUCCCACCAUGGGGUAGAAAUGACAGCUCAAACACCGCCGUCAACCAGCCGGCUGUGGAUGAUGAAUAACGCACCCACAACUCCUUCUCCAGUCUACAAGAUUCAGAAAAUCCAGACACCCCCACAGUCC